AGGAAGGUAGCAGCAGUCAGGUCCACAGGGUCGGUGCAGGGCU
rnacentral:SRP_RNA from 12 species